UCCCAAAUCAUGGUUGACAAGAUCUUCCUU
rnacentral:piRNA from 1 species